CUCCUCUCAGAGUUGCACCUAGAGAGUUUCUAGUACUCUACUUGUUUCGGCUAUGGGAGGGAGAGUCAAGCAGAGGCCUAUCCUUUUCAUUCCUAGCUUGGCUAGUGGCUAGCGAGUGGAAGGCAAUCUGCUAUAAGU